rnacentral:rRNA from 1 species
UACGGAGGAUGCAAGCGUUAUCCGGAAUGAUUGGGCGUAAAGGGCUCGUAGGCGGUCUGUCGCGUCGGGAGUGAAAACUUACAGCUUAACUGUGAGCGUGCUUCCGAUACGGGCAGACUUGAGGUAUUCAGGGGAGAACGGAAUUCCUGGUGUAGCGGUGAAAUGCGCAGAUAUCAGGAGGAACACCGGUGGCGAAGGCGGUUCUCUGGGAAUAUCCUGACGCUGAGGAGCGAAAGUGUGGGGAGCGAACAGG